rnacentral:lncRNA from 1 species
GCUGUCGUUGCUGGAGGCUGAGGCUGCGGAAUGGGAGCCUGGUCGUCGAGCAGCUGCGGCUCUGAGCCUGGCACACCGUGUGCUCGACGGGGCGGACUCCAGGCCGGAGCCGGCGCUUUACAGGUACGGCCUGGUGUGUGCUGCUUCACGGAACCGCCCUUCCUGGUCGCCGACUUGACCAUCUCGGAGGAUGAGAGGCACCUAGACCUGAUUUCUUGGGGUGUCUGCCUAGCCUAGAGGGUCCCAUUCGCCUUUCCGGAGACAGGGGUAAGAGGAUGGCCAUGUCUGUGUGGACUUGGGGACUCUUAAGGAAGGUGAGGUAUUCCAGGCUCCGAGGGCUGUGUUCCAGGUUUGAGGAUGAGUUCCCCAGUUCCAUAACUCUUUUCGGAUGGGGGUCCCUUUAGCUGCUAGAGUAACCCUGUUAGCCGCACCGCUGGAUAGCCAGGUGAAUCAUCUUUGCUCCCAGUUCGGGACUCCAGGAUGGAGUGGAUGUCUGCUGUCCUCGGUCCCACGCCUUCCCUUCCCGAGGGUCCAGCCCAGCCUCCCCCCCCCCCCGGGGNGGAAUCGGGUGUCUGCCCCCCUCAGUGCACUCGAGGCACGACCUCCAGAAGGUCCUCGAGCUCCCCCCAUUCCACGGGUCUACUCUGCCUUGAGCCUCCAGGCCCUUCCCUGCCUUCUUUUUUCCAUCUCCUGGCCGCAGCCCCGCGGAGCUGGACCCCCUGGAGCCGUGCAUGGUCCGUGCUGCCCUCCGGGGCCCCGCUCCAGGCCGCGCCGCAGUCUUCCUCAAGUACGCGCGGCCCCAGCGCCAGGGCACCAGUCUCGCUGCCGCCCUCCUGCUCCGCCACCCCCAGCCUGGGCCUCCGUGAGCGCUGAGGGCCACUCAGAAAACAAGUUCUCAUUGUGUGUCGUCUCCUACCCUAAUGAAAUAAAAGAGUUUCUUUUAUUCUGAGCGCUCUCUGUCCUGGUUGGUUGGAUUCCGUUCACCUCUCGCUUUUGAUGGGUCGCUUCUUAGGCCUCUUU